rnacentral:rRNA from 1 species
GACGUAGGGCGCGAGCGUUGUCCGGAUUUAUUGGGCGUAAAGAGCUCGUAGGCGGCCCGUUGCGUCGGCUGUGAAAACCCGCAGCUCAACUGUGGGCUUGCAGCUGAUACGGGCGGGCUGGGAUUCGGUAGGGGAGACUGGAAUUCCUGGUGUAGCGGUGAAAUGCGCAGAUAUCAGGAGGAACACCAGUGGCGAAGGCGAGUCUCUGGACCGCUAUCGACGCUGAGGAGCGAAAGCGUGGGGAGCGAACAGG